GCAUAGCUCAGUUGGGAGAGCACCUGCCUUACAAGCAGGGGGUCACAGGUUCAAGUCCUGUUGUGACC
rnacentral:tRNA from 2 species